UACAGAGGGUGCAAGCGUUAAUCGGAAUUACUGGGCGUAAAGCGCGCGUAGGUGGUUUGUUAAGUUGGAUGUGAAAUCCCGAGGCUCAACCUCGGAACUGCCUUUGAUACUGGAGAUCUUGAGUCCGGAAGAGGUAAGUGGAACUGCGAGUGUAGAGGUGAAAUUCGUAGAUAUUCGCAAGAACACCAGUGGCGAAGGCGGCUUACUGGUCCGGAACUGACGCUGAGGUGCGAAAGCGUGGGGAGCAAACAGG
rnacentral:rRNA from 1 species